rnacentral:rRNA from 1 species
AUUGAACGCUGGCGGCAGGCCUAACACAUGCAAGUCGAGCGGAGCGGCGGACGGGUGAGUAAUGCCUAGGAAUCUGCCUGGUAGUGGGGGAUAACGUCCGGAAACGGGCGCUAAUACCGCAUACUAUCAGAUGAGCCUAGGUCGGAUUAGCUAGUUGGUGGGGUAAAGGCCUACCACGGCGACGAUCUGUAACUGGUCUGAGAGGAUGAUCAGUAACGCUGGAACUGAGACACGGUCCAGACUCAGACGGGAGGCAGCGGUGGGGAAUAUUGGACAAUGAGAGAAAGCCUGAUCCAGCCAUGCCGCGUGUGUGAAGAAGGUCUUCGGAUUGUAAAGAACUUUAAGUUGGGAGGCGUUACCAACAGAAUAAGCACCGGCGAACUUCGUGCCAGCAGCCGCGUAAUUC